UACGUAGGGGGCAAGCGUUGUCCGGAUUUAUUGGGCGUAAAGAGCGUGUAGGCGGCCAAGCAGGUCCGCUGUGAAAACUCGAGGCUCAACCUCGAGACGUCGGUGGAAACCGUUUGGCUAGAGUCCGGAAGAGGAGAGUGGAAUUCCUGGUGUAGCGGUGAAAUGCGCAGAUAUCAGGAAGAACACCCGUGGCGAAAGCGGCUCUCUGGAACGGUACUGACGCUGAGACGCGAAAGCGUGGGGAGCGAACAGG
rnacentral:rRNA from 1 species